rnacentral:tRNA from 1 species
GCCGGCGUAGCUCAAUUGGCAGAGCAGGCGCUUUGUAAGCGCCAGGUUGCGGGUUCGAGUCCCAUCGCCGGCU